rnacentral:rRNA from 1 species
AACGAACGCUGGCGGCAUGCCUAACACAUGCAAGUCGAACGAGACCUUCGGGUCUAGUGGCGCACGGGUGCGUAACGCGUGGGAAACUGCCCUUAGGUUCGGAAUAACUCCCCGGAAGGGGUGCUAAUACCGGCUAAUGUCUUCGGACCAAAGAUUUAUCGCCUUUGGAUGGGCCCGCGUUGGAUUAGCUAGUUGGUAGGGUAAAAGCCUCCCAAGGCGACGAUCCAUAGCUGGUCUGAGAGGAUGAUCAGCCACACUGGGACUGAGACACGGCCCAGACUCCUACGGGAGGCAGCAGUGGGGAAUAUUGGACAAUGGGCGAAAGCAUGAUCCAGCAAUGACGCGUGAGUGAUGAAGGCCUUAGGGUUGUAAAGCUCUUUUACCCGGGAUGAUAAUGACAGUACCGGGAGAAUAAGCACCGGCUAACUCCGUG